UAUAUACCAAUGAGGCGUGUGACCUGAAGCUGGAAGAAAAAAAUUCCCACCAGAGGGAAUAUAUACCAAUGUAUUGGCUCGGAAUUGUAUGCAUCUCAGCUAUGAAAAAGAGUUACAUCGAAAGGAUACGCCUGAUUUAGCCCAACGAAAGCUUGAAUGCAGCAAAAUCAGUUCUCAAACAAAUAGUCAAAGUUAUAACGAGGAAAGCCAGGCCAGCCGUGGCCUACCUUGCAUAUACCGAUCAAUAUCCCAUGGCAUAUAUGUUGUCCCAGCGCAAUGGACUCUACCGUGGAAGAUUUGAGACAAAAUUUGGCCAGCUGCACUGGUGCCAGUAUGUCGCCAGCCUUGAGCUUUUACUGCUUGUAUUUUAUUCUGAAUUCGCCAUCCUAUGUGUGGCUAAGUAAAGACGGACCGGUAUCCUGAUAAAAAUCAGCAGAUACUUCCAGAAACGGAUAUUCAAAACAUCUGGGUUAUAAAUAGCUAUAUAGAAGCAUGAUGUUGGCGGGGAAACGAUAAUGCCUUGCCCAUUGAGCAAGAGAAGUAGGAACGCUGUGAGAGAGAAGGAUAUAUACAUAAAUAAACUGCGUGACUGAGAGUGAGAGAUCGAGUGAGAGCAAGUGGAGCUUCCGAGUCAGACGGAACGAGGAAAGCUCUAUCGAUCGUUAAGUCUGUAGGCCGUCUGCUGUGCGAAGGGAUAAUAGAUUCUACACCAUGACUAGUCCACCGAUUCCAUUGGCAUGAGUCAGUGACGAUGCAGUGUCAUUAUUAAGGGAAUCUCGACAUGGCCAAGUCAACAAUUAGAGAUUAUUAAUCGCAGCUCCGAGAGGCGCAACGAUUAUAAUAAAUCAAAAACUCUUACGCACGUAAAUACGAGCCUGUUUUAUUAUCGGCACAGUCAGCGCCAUCCAGUAUCACACUCGGAAUUAUCCUCUGAAUUAAACGUGCUCUAGGCGCGGCAUCGAGCGUAGUAGGACUAGGUCAGGGAAGAGUGUCGCGUGCGGCCAAGUUCCCUCUUUCUGUUGCCUCCGUGUUUUGUUUUUCAUUCUCAGACCACAUUGUCAUUUCGUUUAUUUGCAAUUGAAUGGCAAGUUCGCUUGCACGAAGCACAGCGGAUUCAAUUGACAGCUAUUGCAUUGUCCGCGAUGAGCGACAAGUCGCCGAAGAGGAGUCAACAUGCGCUUUCAAGAUAAGAUAGGCGAUAAUGGUAUAGCUGGUAUAACCGGUAGUAACGUCACGGGUUUAGGUGGGUCGUUGAAUAUGACGAUUAAAACUCUUUUUCAAUCCACACCGCCAUCUCUGCUUAAGUAAUGCCCGCCGAAGUCAAUGAGGACCGUGUUAUCUGUAAUUAUGGAAAUAUACCUUUUGAAUAUCCCGCCACAGAGAGACGUUCGCUAUGAAACACAGAGAAUGAUCCCGUACGACUUUGACUAUAUUCAUUGUUAAGACGACGGGACAUUCGACAUAAAUAGAAAUUCGCGAUAACUGUUAUCGGUCGAAUGUACAAGGUGUAUCCUGAUUAUAAUGUCAAUGCCGAUGUUAUCCCACUGGUUCGCCAAGAGUCUAGAAAUAUAAUUAAACGACCGACGUCAGGCAGGAGGCAGCAAGUAAUUUAGCAAUGGUACACACGACUAACGGUAUACUUGAUCCUAUUGGCUUUCAAGAACCAAGGAUAAAAAUCCGUGGUCUUGAGCGAUCGAAGUGAGCGUUGGCCACGCUGGUCUUAUCGAAGUGGAUGAAGAAAUGAUUUUGGACGGAAAAAGGAUAAAUGGAAUAAACUCUGGCAAGUUAAAAUGGCUCUGCACGCCGGUUCCUCCGACAACACAAGACAGUUGUCUGGGUGUGACAUUGACCCUGGCAUUGAUCCCAUGCACACCAGAACACGACUGUACACAAAUUGACGCGCUUAUCCGUAUUCCGCGUAAUGGCACCAGGAGAUUUCCUUUUAGACCAGGGAAUUUAAAACUCCCUCUAUUUCGCUGUAUCAAUGGAGUUUUUACGUGUCUGUUACCAUGACGACGGGACUUCCACCCCAUCACGGCAAACCAUCUCUAAAUACCAAUUCAAUAUGAGGAUGCUUCGUAAAUAUUUUUUAAAGAGUCAUGCUGUUCUUACGCAAUUGUAGAUAGUAUCAUUUUGUACGACAGUGAGUACGAGUUUCUAAUUAACUCUAUCUGUACACGUACCAGCGUACGACAUGAAAUUUGAUGAAUUUGAAAAAAAUGAAUAAAUAUAUUUUUGGCACGGCGUUAUUGAACGGAAGCAUUUUUAAAAAUAAUAUUUAAUUGGUACGCGAAAUACGUGUCCAACAUGACUCCGAUCGAAGGUCUCUUUCAUUAAAAUACGAUCAAUUCAGCAAUUUCGCGACAUCGUUUGAUGUUAUCGUAAACCUACGCGUAGUCUCACGCACGUGUAAAUCUAUAGCGCGCACGCGCUCACGUGCGCCACUCAUGUAUAGUCGCAAACACAUAGUUUAUGAUUCAGUUACCAAGCAGCAAACGACUUUUUGUGGAGAAAACAAAAAAUUGUAAGAACAAAAAUAUCAGUAUAAAAUUACAUAUUUUUAAUAUUAAAUAAUACACUUGAUUAAAUGUGGAUUAGGUAAUUGAUGUUUCUCCAAAUCUCAAGAAACCUGUCGUAAUCGAAUUAUAAAAAUAAUUUUCCAUAGAUCGAGCACGUGUGAUCUGUUUUCGAAGACAGAAAAUUGAACGCGUCACACGAUGACCUACUAUUUAAUGGAGGUUAAGUUUAGCACUGGGCUACUGUCCAAAACCUGCGAAUACGAUUACUAGUGGUAGUGUUGGCGAAAUCAAAGAUUAUAAAAAAAAAUUUUCAGAACUGGGAUUUGAACCCACGCCCACGAAAGUAGACGGCGGUUGGAACGCAGCGUCUCAGCUCGCUCAGCUACCUUGACGUUAGAUUUUUUUUUGAAUAUAUACAGU